CAGCAGGAACCGCAGCAGGAUGAUGAGCGCCAUGCGCCAUAUUGCGCCGGGUUGCACUGAGGAAGGGGAAAUCAGCCUGUGAGCUUCGGACAAUCAUCUCCUCUCCACACCUCACCAGCUCCGGAAGGCACACGGAGCUCUGGUCUCUCCUUUGGAAACACUUUUUUAUUUAACAGAGCGAGGAAAAAGACAGAAAAAUGCCUAAAGCGCUCAAUCGUUCGCGUCACCACAUGGACGCUGAGCUGGAGUUUGCCAUCCGGAGCCCAGCACCACCGGCAAGCAGCUUGUUCGACCAGGU